CUGAUAACCUAAAUAAUUGUGAUUUUAGACCUGAGAUCAAGUUAUUUACCUUCUACUGAUAAGAAAAAUAUACUUGGAAAAAUUCGUGAUUACAACAAACCAUUGCACACAUUGCAAGAAGAUUACUAUUCGGAGUUGUAUGAUGACGAUAGGAGUCCUACAGGAAAAUGGACUAACUCCAGGACUACAAACGGAUUUGACGAACUCUAUGAUAAGAAUAAAGAUUUGGAAAAUAAUAUUCAAGAUUUGCAAAUUGAAAUCAUACAGCUUCAAUUCAGACUGCAGCAGCUUCAGCUUCAACAGCAACUCCUUCGCCAAGAGAAGCAACGACUCACUGUCAACUUGAGACUCAGCUUCAGACGAGGAGUUUGGAGCAACGAUUUGAAGCGAGAACUUCAGAAAAUCGCCGGUGAAGAAGUUAGAGCUUUGGAAGAACGUUUGAGCUUGAGCUUGAGAGUUAGAAGACUCCAGGAUAACAUAGUUAAACAGCUUGAAGAAGCAGAACGAAACUUGAAGAAGGAAUCCUGGAUUCAGGAAAAUUACUACGAAAAUUAUUGAGUCUUUUUACAUAUAUUUUUUGGUAUUUUUAAUGAAUCACUAAUUAUUAAUGAAUAGUUUUAUAGUAUAAGUGUAUUAUGUUAAUUAUUAAAUAUUGGACAUCGAUUAUUAUUGGUAUAAUUUAGGCAAAUUGGAGAGCUGAUAGACUCAAAUUUAUUAAAUCGAAAUAUUCUAUGUAUUUCCGAAGAAGAUAAAUAGAUUUUAAGAUUAAACUGUAGCCAAAUUUGAAGAAAAUAAAGAUUGAUAGGUAUAUUAAUACAA